rnacentral:rRNA from 1 species
UACAGAGGUCUCAAGCGUUGUUCGGAAUCACUGGGCGUAAAGCGCGCGUAGGCGGACCUGCAAGUCGGGGGUGAAAGCCCGAGGCUCAACCUCGGAACUGCCCUCGAUACUGCGGGUCUCGAGUCCGGGAGAGGUGAGUGGAAUUCCUAGUGUAGAGGUGAAAUUCGUAGAUAUUAGGAAGAACACCGGUGGCGAAGGCGGGUCUCUGGGCCGAUACUGACGCUGAGGAGCGAAAGCGUGGGGAGCGAACAGG